UCGAGAAUAUUCGUCAAUGGGCGAAAGCCUGAACGAGCGACGCCGCGUGCAGGAAGAAGGUUUUCGGAUUGUAAACUGCUUUUCUCUGGGAACAAUUACGAUGAGUGUACCAGAGGAAUAAGAGGUUACUAACUCUGUGCCAGCAGUAGCGGUAAUACAGAGACCUCAAGCGUUAUCCGGAUUUAUUGGGCGUAAAGCGCAGGUAGGCGGGUAUGUUAGUCGGAUGUCAAAUCUCUCGGCUCAACCGGGA
rnacentral:rRNA from 1 species